rnacentral:rRNA from 1 species
CAAUAGCGUGUAUUAAAGUUGUUGCAGUUAAAAAGCACGUAGUUGGAUUUGUGGCUGUCACGGGCGGCCUAUCACUUAGUGUUAGUGCUUGCCUGUGUCGCCAUCCUUGGGUGGAGCCCGUGUGGCAUUAGGUUGUCGUGCGGGGGAUGCCCAUCGUUUACUGUGAGAAAAUUAGAGUGUUCAAAGCAGGCUUAUGCCAUUGAAUAUGUUAGCAUGGAAUAAUAAGAUAGGACCUCGGUACUAUUUUGUUGGUUUGCGCACCGAGGUAAUGAUUAAUAGGGACAGUUGGGGGUAUUCGUAUUUCAUUGUCAGAGGUGAAAUUCUUGGAUUUCUGAAAGACGAACUACUGCGAAAGCAUUUACCAAGGAUGUUUUCAUUAA